UCCGGAGAUCUUCUUUCCCUUCUUUCUCUUAUUUAUACCACCUUUAGGGUUCAGCCUCCUUUUAGAACCUUUUUUGCUUGCCUUCUUCUUGGAGAUCCCAUCCACAAGAAGAAGAGGAGCCUUAUCCUUCUUAAUAUGGCUUUCUGUUGUCUUGAGCAUAUUUAACAGCUCAGGCAAGGAAGAAUUCAGUUUAUUCAUGUGAUAGUUCACGACAAACUGAGAAAAUGAUUUUGAAAGUGAUUGCAGAAUUAGAUCCUGACUCAACUCCCCAUCCAUAACAAAACCUAAUUGACCUAAUCGAGUGAUCAAGUCAAUAACCAUCAAAACAUGGUUAUGUACGGAUGACCC
rnacentral:lncRNA from 1 species